rnacentral:rRNA from 1 species
AUUGAACGCUGGCGGCAGGCUUAACACAUGCAAGUCGAGCGAGCGGCGGACGGGUGAGUAAUGUCUGGGAAACUGCCUGAUGGAGGGGGAUAACUACUGGAAACGGUAGAUAAUACUGCAUACCAUCAGAUGUGCCCGGAGGGGAUUAGCUAGUAGGGGGGGUAAUGGCUCACCAAGGAGACGAUCCCUAGCUGGUCUGAGAGGAUGACCAGCCACACUGGAACUGAGACACGGUCCAGACUCCUACGGGAGGCAGCAGUGGGGAAUAUUGCGCAAUGGGCGAAAGCCUGAUGCAGCCAUGCCGCGUGUGUGAAGAAGGCCUUCGGGUUGUAAAGCACUUUCGGCGGGGAGGCGUUACUCGCAGAAGAAGCACCGGCUAACUCCGUGCCAGCAGCCGCGGUAAUUC